UACGAAGGGGGCUAGCGUUGCUCGGAAUCACUGGGCGUAAAGGGUGCGUAGGCGGGUCUUUAAGUCAGGGGUGAAAUCCUGGAGCUCAACUCCAGAACUGCCUUUGAUACUGAAGAUCUUGAGUUCGGGAGAGGUGAGUGGAACUGCGAGUGUAGAGGUGAAAUUCGUAGAUAUUCGCAAGAACACCAGUGGCGAAGGCGGCUCACUGGCUCGGUACUGACGCUGAGGCACGAAAGCGUGGGGAGCAAACAGG
rnacentral:rRNA from 1 species